rnacentral:rRNA from 1 species
AGAGUUUGAUCAUGGCUCAGAAUCAACGCUGGCGGCGUGCCUAACACAUGCAAGUCGAACGAGAAAGUCCGCAAGGAUGAGUACAGUGGCGACCGGGUGAGUAACACGUGACUAACCUACCUCUUAGUGGGGAAUAACUCCGGGAAACCGGAGCUAAUACCGCAUAACAUCGCAAGAUCAAAGCCGAAAGGCGCUGGGAGAGGGGGUCGCGGCUGAUUAGCUAGUUGGUAGGGUAACGGCCUACCAAGGCGAAGAUCGGUAUCCGGCCUGAGAGGGCGCACGGACACACUGGAACUGAAACACGGUCCAGACUCCUACGGGAGGCAGCAGUGGGGAAUUUUGCGCAAUGGGGGAAACCCUGACGCAGCAACGCCGCGUGGAGGAUGAAGUCCCUUGGGAUGUAAACUCCUUUCGACCCGGACGAUACUGACGGUACGGGUGGAAGAAGCACCGGCUAACUCUGUGCCAGCAGCCGCGGUAAUAC